UUAAAGUAUAACAACAACAUCAUCAACAAUAAUAUAAAAGCCUUUUCGCAUUAAGACGCAAAACUCCAAAUCCCAGUUCUGUGUGGAAGGGUCGGGUCUUAGCGCCGCCGUGUUCUUAGCGCUCCUGAUUUUGAUUGGUUACAAGUCCCCAAAGUUCAUUGAUGAUUGGUCCAAAGUUGAGAGGAGGGGGUGUGGCCAAGGGAAAGUAAAAACUCGCUUUCAGCAAGAAGUUUUGAAAACUUUCCCAAACCCUAAAAAGGGAGUUUGACUUUUUUGGACUUGCUGGCUCCUCGCAGACAGACGCAUUGGACACAGAAGGACAGACGGCCUCUACUCGCGAGCUGCCUUGAUUUCUGGAGAAGUGGGAGUUCUCUUCGGCGAGGGCUUUACAAUUCUUCUCCCCCUUUCCACCCCAUCCCCCUUCGUCCUGCCUUUUGGCUUUUCCCCCUCGUCUCUCCUUUCCUUCUCCUUUCUCCAGGCAAGCGGGCUCCAGGCUGCGACCUUCCCGGCAAGUCGUCCCAGACCUCUAGAUUUCUGUGAACCAAACCUGACCCAAAAUCUAUUUCGGUUUAGCCGGCGUUCCUCUUUGGGUCACUUCAAAGGAUGCUGAUUCUUCGCUGCUGGGGUCGCUGAGAGAACUCCGCUUGGAUUUGGGCUACGUGUGCCCGAAGCUCCGUCUCUCCCACUCCCUCCAGUGCACUCGAGACCAUCUCCGCGGCUCUCACACCAACGCUUUGGGCUCCCCCGCCUCCUCUGGGGCUCUCUCCUCCCUCCCCUGCCCCCUCCCCUUUGCCCCUGCCCGUAGUCCCAGUGCAGCCCGCGGGGGAGCCGUCUUCCAGGAUGCAGGCUCGCUACUCGGUGUCGGCGGACCCCAAUGCCCUGGGAGUGGUGCCGUACUUGAGCGAACAGAACUACUACCGGGCGGCGGGUACCUACGGCAGCAUGGCUAGCCCCAUGAGUGUCUACUCGGGCCACCCAGACCAGUACGGGGCUGGCAUGGGCCGCUCCUAUGGGCCUUACCACCAUCACCAGCCCACGGCGCCCAAGGACCUAGUAAAACCGCCCUAUAGCUACAUAGCUCUCAUUACCAUGGCCAUCCAGAACGCACCAGAGAAGAAGAUCACCCUGAAUGGCAUAUAUCAGUUCAUUAUGGACCGCUUCCCUUUCUAUCGGGAGAACAAACAGGGUUGGCAGAACAGCAUCCGCCACAACCUCUCGCUGAACGAAUGUUUUGUCAAGGUGCCCCGGGACGACAAGAAGCCGGGCAAGGGCAGCUACUGGACCCUGGACCCGGACUCCUACAAUAUGUUUGAAAACGGCAGCUUCUUAAGGCGGCGGCGGCGCUUCAAAAAGAAGGACGUACCCAAGGAGAAGGAGGAGCGGGGGCACCUCAAGGAACCGCCUCCCCAAGCGCCCAAAGGCGCCUCUGCCCACGCAGGAGCCCCCCUUCCUAGCACCGACACCCCGAAGGAGGUAGAGAAGAAGGUGGUGAUCAAAAGCGAGGCCUCGUCGCCCGACCUACCAGUCAUUACAAAGGUGGAGACUCUAAGCCCAGAAAGCGGCAGCGCGCUUCGGGACAGCCCCCGCAGCGUGGCCUCCACGCCGUCUGGCUCCACCGAGGGGUCGCUGCCUGACCACCACCCGUCCGGCAACGGGCUGUCUGGUUUCAGCGUAGAGAACAUCAUGACCCUGAGAACUUCGCCCCCGGGCGGGGACCUGAGCCCAGUGUCUGGCAGGACCGGGCUGGUGGUGUCCUCGCUAGCGCUGCCUUAUGGUCAGGGACCCCCGACUGCCUACAGCCAGCCCUGUCCCCAGGGCGUGGACACAGGAGGAAGCUACCAAUGUAGCAUGCGGGCCAUGAGCCUGUACACGGGUGGGGAGAGGCCAUCUCCCAUGUGUGGCCCCGCAGUCCUAGAGGAGGCCAUGUCGGACCACCCCAACGGCACCACGUCGCCCCUGAGUACGCUUGGCCUCGCGGCUAGUCAGGAAGGUGCUCUGGCUGGCUCGGGUCAUCACCAUCCCCAGCACCACCCUCACCACGGGCACCCACAGCCGCCACCGCCACCUCCACCUCCUCAGCAGCCUCCGCCUCAGACCGGCGCGGCCCCCGGGCAGGCGACCUCUUGGUAUCUGAACCACAGCGCGGAACUGAACCACCUUCCCGGUCACACGUUUGCAGCCCAGCAGCAGACUUUCCCCAACGUCCGGGAGAUGUUCAACUCCCAUCGGCUGGGAAUCGAGAGCUCGGCCCUCGGCGAGCACCAGGCAUGAAGAAGGGACACAGCGAGAGCUCGGGAGUUCAUUGGGAAAGGAGGCAGAGCUGGAGGGAGCUGGGGUUGCAGGCUCGUGGCUGGCUCUCCCGGGCUUGGGGAACCUCUUCCUGGCUCUCUCUUGCCUUCUCCCUUCGGGACAGCCUGGAGCUCGCUUAGCCUCGCCAUGACCCAUCUCUACAACCACCACCUACCUCCGCUGGUCAGCCCUUCGGUGUUGUACGUGUACAGCCCCGAGCGCCCGGGGCUGUCCCUGGGCUUUUCUCCUCCCGCUACUCUGGUUGGAGCUGGUCGGGCCGAGCCCCCCCAGAAGCCUCCCUACAGCUACAUCGCCCUCAUCGCCAUGGCCAUCAAAGAUGCCCCAGACCAGAGGGUCACGCUCAACGGCAUCUACCAGUUCAUCAUGGACCGCUUUCCCUUCUACCACGACAACAAGCAGGGCUGGCAAAACAGCAUCCGCCACAAUUUAUCCCUCAAUGACUGCUUCGUCAAGGUGCCCCGGGAGAAGGGCCGCCCAGGCAAAGGCAGCUAUUGGACCCUGGACCCCCGCUGCCUGGACAUGUUUGAACACGGCAACUAUAGACGGCGGAAGAGGAAGCCCAAGCCCGGGCCCGGGGUCCAGGAGGCCAAGAGGGGAAAAGGGGAGGUGGAGGAGACUGGAGCCCAGGUGGGCCGCAGAAUCAGGCUGGAGGAAAGGGAAGAAAGUCCUGUAGCAGCUGGGGGAGGAGGGGAGAGAGGAGGAAGACAAGGAGGGGGAGGAAAGAAUAAAGGAGGAGGAUGGCGUGAAGGAGGAGAUGGA
ensembl:lncRNA